AUGAGAUGCAUUUUACUCUUCUAUUUUUUUAGGAAGGCCGCAGAAAUAAGGUGGAAAGCUUUGUCUAAAGCAUGUUUUGACAAACACUCGGUGGCUGCUCGGCUCCCCACAUGGAAAGCAUGGCUCAUGAACAAAACCGGGCGGCUGGCUUUGGUCAAAUCGGUGCUCGCCGCGAUCCCGAUACAUCAACUGCUCGCGUUUGCGCCGCCCAAGAAGACCUUGAGACAGCUCGAAAAGAUCCAGCGCGGCUUCUUGUGGGCCGGGCGCGCCGUUGCUAAUGGCGGACACUGCCACAUCAACUGGCGACGUGUGUGCCGCCCGCUCGAGUACGGCGGGCUUGGGGUCCAGGAUCUGGAGCGCGCUGGCCUCGCGCUGCGCCUGCGCUGGAUGUGGCUCUCCCACACGGACGACGAUCGCGCAUGGCGAGGCCUCGACCUCCAGUUUUCCAGCGAGGAGCGCGCGUUGUUCUACGCAUCGACGACCAUGGUGCUCGGUGAUGGACUGACGGCACUGUUUUGGAAUGACCGAUGGCUCAAUGGUCAGUCCGUGCGCGAACUCGCACCGGCACUCUACCAAUGCAUCCCCAAAUGGCGACGCAAGUCAAGAACGGUGGCCGCAGGCCUUGCGGGCAACGCUUGGGCUCGCGACAUCCAAGGAGCGAUAGGGAUUCAUGAGAUUGGCCAAUAUCUCAGACUUUGGCAUGCCGUGCAGCACAUCAGCCUACCAAACCGGCCUGACCAGAUGCUCUGGAGAUGGACGGCUAGUGGCACCUAUACGGCACGGUCAUGCUACGCUGCAACCUUCCACGGAUCUAUGAAAUGCCCCUCCUGGAAGCUUACCUGGAAGAGCUGGGCACCGCGACGUGUCCAUUUCUUUCACUGGUUGGCUAGCCAGGACCGGUGUUGGACAGCGGAUAGACUCGCCCGUCGCGUCCUACAGCACCAUCCACGAUGCCUCCUCUGUGAUCAGGCCCCUGAGUCGAUGUGGCACCUGCUCCUAGAGUGCCCGUUUACGCGGCAGGUUUGGUACGACGUGCUGGCUUGGGCGAGGAUACUUUCUCAACCGCCAAGCAAUGAACCCAGCCUCACGGACUGGUGGCAACGAACGAAAGGGCAGACCCCACAGGCGCUACAGAAAGGUCUGCAAUCCAUCACCAUGCUCGUUCCUUGGAUGAUCUGGAAACAGCGCAACGAGUGCGUCUUCACGAAUGCACGGCCCUCGGCUACCGCACUCGUAGAUAGGAUUAAGGCCGAAGCCAAAUGUUGGGCACAAGCUGGCGCUUUGGGUCUCAGGGUAGUCCUCCCCACUAGCUGGGAUGUCCACUGA
rnacentral:rRNA from 1 species